rnacentral:misc_RNA from 1 species
UCAAAACAGCGGCCUUCGGGCCUCGCUGCACCCUUGUCUUUUGCGCACCGUAUUGUUUCCUCGGCGGGCUUGCCUGCCGGUUGGACAUCAUAAAACUUUUUUGUAGUUGCAAUCAGCGUCAGAAAAACAAUAAUUAUUA